GUCAUUUUGGAAGCUGCUAUUCUCACAGCAGUAGUGGUGGUUAGUCUUACUCUGUACACAUUCUGGGCUGCUAGGAGGGGCCAUGAGUUCAACUUUCUUGGCCCGUUUCUUUUUGCUGCCGUCUUGAUGUUUUUUUGCUCUCGUUCAGGUUCCUAUUUCCACUUGAAAAAUUGUUGACGAUGAUAUACGUGACCUGGCAGCCUUGGUGUUUUCCGACUACAUAUUAUACGACAAUCUGAUCAAAUGAUUUACCUAUGAUCAAUAUAUCUAAGCUGCCGUUUCACUGUAUCUUGACAUUGUCAGUUUGUUCCUUUCGUUACUCACUUUGCUCAGGGCAGCUUAUAGUUGAAAAUAUAUUAGCAAUGCAACUUGAUCGGUUUGUUUUUUCUCUUGUAUGCCAUAUUCAUAGUGUUGAACUAGACAACCAAGUAAUCUCUAAGAUGUAAUUCUACUACAUUGUUUCUCGGUAAAAAAAAAAAACGUUUUUUUUG